rnacentral:lncRNA from 1 species
GGUUGAAAGGCUUAUCAAGAACAUUGAAGAUGCUCAAGCUAGGAGGUUGAAGGUGGAUAGAGAGAAUGAUGAGCUCACAUUGGCCCUCGGGAAUCCCAAGCACCAAGGACGUUUCCGAGGGUACAGGGUCAUUCCGUGGAAGCAUGAUUUUCAAGGGGACAAGGUUUCGUACAGAAGCCGCAAGCGAAGAAAGGAACAGCAAGAGGAGAGCUGGCGGCGCAUGUUAGAAGCCAAAGUGCAUUCACAAGAAGUAAGAAUGCA